UAUAGCUUAAAUUUAUUAAAGCAUUGAUUUUGUAAUUCAAAGAUUUUAAUUACUGGAU
rnacentral:tRNA from 1 species